rnacentral:tRNA from 16 species
CGUUGUAUUUGAACGGUAGAGGCGUCGCAUUCAUGACCGUCAGGUUGUGGGUUCGAUUCC